UACGUAGGGUGCAAGCGUUAAUCGGAAUUACUGGGCGUAAAGCGUGCGCAGGCGGUUAUGCAAGACAGAUGUGAAAUCCCCGGGCUUAACCUGGGAACCGCAUUUGUGACUGCAUAGCUGGAGUACGGCAGAGGGGGAUGGAAUUCCGCGUGUAGCAGUGAAAUGCGUAGAGAUGUGGAGGAAUACCGAUGGCGAAGGCAGCCCCCUGGGAUAACACUGACGCUCAUGCACGAAAGCGUGGGGAGCAAACAGG
rnacentral:rRNA from 1 species